rnacentral:pre_miRNA from 1 species
UGCCCCUGGGAGCCAAGCGUCGGUGGAGCCUGUGGGUACCAAUUUGGGCGACCCACGCUUGGCUUCCAGGGUCU